GAGCGGCAGUGACUUCGCCGCUGCUGUAGUUCCCCGGCUGGAUGCGGUGACUGGUGCCAGUGCUCAGGCGCCCGCUGCCCUUGACCUCCCGCCCCGCGAGCCCUAACUCAGCGCAGGAGGACCGGCUGCCGCCGCCGCCGCCGCCAGAGCCUUGGCUGCCCAGUUGCCAGUCCUACCACGGUCGGAGGUAACCUUCCUGGCUCCAGUCACAUGGCCAGAUAAGGUGGUGUGUGUGGGCAUGAAUUAUGUGGACCACUGCAAAGAACAGAACGUGCCCGUGCCCAAGGAGCCCAUCAUCUUCAGCAAGUUUGCCAGCUCCAUCGUGGGGCCCUAUGAUGAGGUGGUCCUCCCACCACAGAGCCAGAUCCACACAACUUAAAGAUCUGCUGUCGAGUGAAUGGGGAAGUGGUCCAGAGCAGCAACACCAACCAGAUGGUAUUCAAGACAGAGGACCUGAUAGCCUGGGUGUCCCAGUUUGUUACCUUUUACCCAGGGGAUGUCAUCCUGACUGGGACCCCCCCACCUCCACCCAGGUGUCGGUGUAUUCAGGAAACCUCCUGUCUUUCUCAAGGUCUCUGAAGGUCCAGACAGCACUGAUGGCGAGCUUUGGGUCCGCACACUCUGGAAAGAAGAGAGAAGUGAAGGCUCUAGGUAGGGAGAACAGAGAGCCACUGGGCACAGGCUUCUCUCCUCUUGUUUAAAGAAGCCCAGGGAGGGAUAGAGCUCUGACUGGACAGAAGACUGUACUCUGCAGCCUGCCUUCCUAGAGUUGGGUUGUCACUGUCCUGCAGGGGGCAGCAGCCACCAGCAAACACCACUGCCUGCAGGAGCCUGGGCUGACUGGUUGGGACUCACCGAAGAUCCCUUCUUCCUGGGCGGUGGCCUGCAGGAACUGGAACAGCUGCUCUGUGUAGCCCAACUCUGCAGAAGAGAGAAGACCUAGACCUGGCACCCAGCACAGACACAGCCUGCCUCGAGGACUGCAAGGGAACAAGGGCCUCACCAGUAUCGGGCAGCUGGCCCUGGCGGAGGAAGGCGGCAGCCUGUGCAAAGGCCUUGAGCAGCGGGCUGAGCAGGCGGCAGAGGAAAAGAAAGAAAUCUGGGCAGUGUGACUGCUGGCUGAGCUGGAGGGGACAGGCCGGGGUGAGUGCAGCUCCCCACCGCCUCCCUACCACCUCCCUCCAGGGGCAGCUUUUUGAAACACACCCUGAAGUACCGGCCGUCAGCCUCUCCGAAGUCAUCACUGUCACUAUCAGUAAAGUCCCCACUCGGUUU
rnacentral:lncRNA from 1 species